rnacentral:rRNA from 1 species
UACGUAGGGAGCAAGCGUUGUUCGGAUUUACUGGGCGUAAAGGGCGCGUAGGCGGCGCGGUAAGUCACUUGUGAAAUCUCUGAGCUUAGCUCAGAACGGCCAAGUGAUACUGCAGUGCUAGAGUGCAGAAGGGGCAAUCGGAAUUCUUGGUGUAGCGGUGAAAUGCGUAGAUAUCAAGAGGAACACCUGAGGUGAAGACGGGUUGCUAGGCUGACACUGACGCUGAGGCGCGAAAGCCAGGGGAGCAAACGGG